AGGGUUGAGUCGGGGUGGGGACAUGAAGCUAGGGUUAGGGUUAUGGGUAGUGUUAGGGUUGAGCCGGGGUGUGGACAUGAAGCUAGGAUUAGUGUUAGGGUUGAGCCGGGGUGUGGACAUGAAGCUAGGAUUAGGGUUAUGGGUAGUGUUAGGGUUGAGCUGGACUGUGGACAUGAAGCUAGCGUUAGGGUUAUGGGUAGUGAUAGGGUUGAACCGGGGUGUGGACAUGAGGGUAGGGUUAUGGGUAGUGUUAGGGUUGAACCGGGGUGUGGACAUGAAGUUAGGGUUAUGGGUAGUGUCAGGGUUGAAUCGGGGUGUGGACAGGAAGCUAGGGUUAAAUCAAAUCAAAUCAAAUUUUAUUUGUCACAUACACAUGGUUAGCAGAUGUUAANNNNNNNNNNUCCCUCUCCCCUCUCUCUCUCUCUCUUUCUCUAUCUCUCUCUCUGUCUCUCUCUCAGUAGGGGAGGGAGAGUCCACUCAGCUUAAUGGAAUAGAGCAGUAAGAGCUACAGAAGACGUGGGAGUCAUGCUACUGUAUCUGAAAUCACAGAUAUAGUAUUACUGCAGUAUUACAAACGGUAUAAUAACUGAAGUUACUGGUAUUGUUUUUGCAAGCAUUUAUGAUAGAGCAGGAAAUUGAAAAACUAUUGUGAAAUGUACAUCCAUACCUUUAUGUAUUGAGAGAUUUUAAAAAGCAGAGUGAGGAAUUUAACUUUGUGUUUACUCUUGCUGAAAAGUUCAUUGGUCAGCUUGUCGGAGCAGAAAAUAAACAGGCUACACAGGACGAGAGAGAGCGAGAGAGUGACUUACUGGGUUAUUAUGAGGUAUUGUGGGUGGAGAGAUAAAUAGAGAUUGUCACAACGUGUGACAUUUUGAUGGAUUUUCCUCUUGCUAAAAGCCACCUCUUUGACGAAGAAAUCUAAUGGCUCUUUCUGUAGGAGCCCCUUUCCAGAAUCAAUGUCUCCCUCCCAAUUUACCCCAAUUCAACAUCACCACCGGCACCUCCACUACAAACAUUGUAGACAAGGCUAGAGAGGACACCCAGGUUAUAGUUAACACUCAUAAUGAAAAAAAUAUACACUACAGCUAGAGUCUUCCGAACAGCCUUAGAAGGACGUCAUAGCGACAGGCCCGCUCAUGGCUUUGAGCAGGAAAUUACUGGUAUUGGCUCCUUAACAGCUUCUACCCCCAAGCCAUAAGACUGCUGAACAAUUAAUCAAAUGGCCACCCGGACUAUUUACAUUGACAUCCCCACUCCAUUUGUUUUGUACACUGCUGCUAAUCGCUGUUUAUUGUCUAUGCGUAGUCACUUCACCCCUACCUACAUGUACAAAUGACCUUGACUAACCUGUACCCCCCACACAUUGACUCGGUGCUGGUACCCCCUGUAUAUGGCCUCAAUAUUGUUAAUAUUUUACUGUGUUACUUUUUAUAAUUUUUUUACUUUAGUUUAUUUGGUAAAUAUUUCCUUAACUCUUCUUGAACUGCCCUGUUGGUUAAUUAAGGGUGUAAGCAUUUCACGGUGAGGCCUACACUUGUUGCAUUCGGCGCAUGUGUCAAAUAAAGUUGAACUUGACUGGAAACUGACUGUCAUUGUGGGAGGUUUUGAAAACUAAGGUAGGAACGUUUUUUUUUUCCUUUACAAACUUGUUCUGUACUGUGAAGUUCAUUUGAACACGUGCUUCAUAUUACGACAUAGGCAGGAGACCUAUAUAGUCUCAUGUGUGUGUUUCACUGUAGCCUACACUGAUUCAUUUUGAUUUCAAGUUGUAUUCGGACAUUGUGAUAUUGGUUCUACUGCUACAUCGAUGUCUUGAAAAUGAGUCUAUAAGAAAUGUGGACUUGUGUCAGACCCGGAGCUGUACUCAAGUAUGUGGGCAUACUGCAGUGACGUGGGAAAAUGCUUUGAAUUAAUCAGCACCUCGAGGAGCACUGUGAAGGAAGAAACCACAUGGAUAAAGUGGAUAAGCGAGUUAGGUCCAAAAAAAAACAGAUUUUCACAAAGUCAA
rnacentral:lncRNA from 13 species